UACGGAGGGAGCUAGCGUUGUUCGGAUAUACUGGGCGUAAAGCGCACGUAGGCGGCGCCGUAAGUCAGGGGUGAAAUCCCGGAGCUCAACUCCGGAACUGCCCUUGAAACUGCAGUGCUAGAAUCCUGGAGAGGCGAGUGGAAUUCCGAGUGUAGAGGUGAAAUUCGUAGAUAUUCGGAAGAACACCAGUGGCGAAGGCGACUCGCUGGACAGGUAUUGACGUUGAGGUGCGAAAGCGUGGGGAGCAAACAGG
rnacentral:rRNA from 1 species